AUCCUUGACCACAUAGUGCGUCUCUAAAGGACAAUACCUUCUCAGUUUGCUGCUGUUAAAUAGCUGCAUCGCCGCGAUGACGCUGCGAUCGGCGGCUUUGCGGUAUCCACGGAAGCCUCACAAGUGAGGCUGACCGUGGAUCUGGGGAGGAAAGGCCUCCCCAGAAGAAAAAUGGCCGCCGCCGCACCGAUCAUCAAAGGUCGCGGUCGGUGGCGCCCAGUUAAAACAGCUUAGGAAGCGAUCGGAAUCGCUUCCUAAGCAUAAACAGUGUUGCUGACAUGCCUCGAUAUCGAGGCAUGUAGCAACACAAACCCCCUACCCCGAUAGCCUUGUGAUUGCUCCGAAGAGCAACCACAAGUGCCAUCAUGUAAAUGACGUUGGCGUCAUUCACA